ensembl:lncRNA
UGCGCGCGGCGGCUCCGCCCCUGCGACUCCGGGAUCCUCGGCCGCCCCGCCCCCGCCUCUCCUCGGGCCCGCGAUUUACUGAGGAAACGGGAUCUCUGCCCUGUGGGACGUCCGAGCCCUCGCAUUCGGCUCAGGCCUUACUGAUGAUGUCGUUUGACCUGUUUCUCUGUCCUCCAUGGUUCUCGGAAAUUCAUAGUCCGCUUUAAAGUCCUGAGGAGAGCCGCGCUCGCUUUUUCGAGCCUGCGCGCUUCGUCGGGAGGGCAGCCCGGUGGAGGCGCCUGGCGAAGCGGGGGCUUCAGCGGAGGUCGUCAGCCCGACCCCCGUUAGAAGGGUUCCCACCAAACCUCCUAAUGCUUUUCGAAUACACUGCGGGUCUCGUUUGUUUGUUUUUAACCCUUGGCUCACGAGCUGUAAGGAUGUAAACCCAAGGCCCUUGGUGUCCAAGUUCCGUGCGCCGAGGAACAAAACUGAGAAUAAGGGCAGGAAAAGACACAGAGAAUGUCAGUGUUCUUUGAGUCUCUGGAUCGUUCUAUCCUCUCCAUGCUUUGGCUCCGAGAGCUAACCAAUUACCUUUCCCACGUAGGCAAAACUGAAGCUGUGUUUCCGGCGCUGCGCCGCUGAGAGGCUCUCCUGGAGCCGCCGCGGGUGGGCCUGGUUGCUGGGUCUCGGGCCCCGCCUCCCGCACUCGCCGCCCCGCUGUGGCCGCGCUUUCUUCGGCAGAGGCCGUCGCGUCUGAAAAAUGGCUCCGCCCACCCUCGUCUCUGUUGGAAUGCCGACUGAUGUGUCUCUUCUGGAUGGUUUCUGAAUGUCGUUUUCUGUCAGGCAGGUGUGCUGCCUCAUCCAUUAGGACAACGUGCCAGAGCAAUAAAUCAUUGCCUACUGUUGGUAGCAAUGGCUGGAAAUUGGGUGUUAUGGUCUGACCAUUUGGUGAGCUCUGCACUGGAUGAAUCAUUUGAAGAGAUCCAGUGUCUGUUGGGUGAGACAACAGAGAAGCUAGUUUGUUUGCCUGUUCAUCUAUUUGGGCUCAAAUCAAUCAAGACUGUUGUGUGCCACCAAGAAGGUGAAUAGCUCUUUGAUAUCUGAACUAGUAAAUAUUUUGCUUCUGUGUUUUCUCUUGACUCAUGACUGAAAUUUUAGAAUUGAAGCUGUAAACUCUACAUGUCUCUAUGUCUGUAAUUCAGAAAGGUCUCUACCUCUCAUUGUCUGAGUGUAUGAUGUUUUUCUAAAUCUGGAUGGUAUUAGAUUAUCAAAUCUCCUAAAUUAAAAAAGCCUUGUUCUGACUGGCUUAUAAGCGCUUGUAAGUGAAAUGUAGUAUUCCUACAAUUCUCAGAAAGUAAGGAAAUAGAACUUCUAAGUUUUAAAAUGUGCUGGGUUUAAAAAGUAUUUUAAAAGAAAUUAGCUCAGAAACAUUUUAAGAAUUCAAGUUUACACAAUUUAGGUAAAUCUUUCGCAAACUAAACUAGUUUAAUAAUUUGGUUUAAUAAAAACAGCUAUUUCUUCUCUGAUUUAUCAGUGUUACAUGUAACACAAGUGUUUAUUUUUAUUAUACUUGGGUAUGUUUUUUUCUAAAUUAUACAGGUUUACUGAUAAGCUAGGAUUACUUCUACUUAAUGCUUGCUUAUGAAAAAUGUAAAUUUGUAUUUGACCCCAUUGAAUCUUUAUUCUGAUGAAUUAUUAUUCCAUUAGUAAUAUGUUCUAUACUGUGUCAGCUUGAAGAUAAAUGUCGAAGAUCUAGGUAGCCUACAAUCUUGGAUUGGUAUUAAAUUGGGUUAAUUAACGGAAAAUCAUUGGAUACCUAGAUCAUUUCUAAGUAAGAUUGAAUACUAAAGUAUUAAUUAAUAAGCAUAAUUUUAACUUUAUAUACCUUUGCUUCUUAUUUUUAUAUACUAUAGAAAGACUCUGUCUGUGGGUCAUGUCAAUGAACAUGUUGAUUUUUGCCACUUUAGGAAGAUGUAUAUGGGACAUUAGCAACUGUGGAAAAUUGGGUUAAUUCAUGAAUUAUUGAAUUCAUGAGCUCUGCUAGUCUGAUAACAUGCUGGGGUGUGACAGUUCACUUUAUCCACCCCCCAGUUUUCUCUACAAAACAGAAGUUAUUUUGGUUAACAUUUAUGUGUUAUAAAUGGUUGAAACUACACUGAGAAGGAAUGGUUGCAGAGAAAUAUAACUGUGUAUGUGCUUCUGUUUUUUCAAGGAAAAGACUAGUUUUGCCUUAAAGCAGCAUCGUGAAGUUUUUAAUAUUACUUUAUUUUUCUUUUAAUCUCUCUAGUAUCUAUAAUGAGGUCUCCUCUUUCAUUCCUGAUGUUGGUAAUUUGUGUUUUCCCUCUUAUUUUCUUGAUCUCUCUGGCUAGAAUUUUAUCAAUUUUAUUGUAUUUUGCAAAAAACAAGUUUUUGGCUUCAUUUUUUUCCUACUGUUCAUUUCUAUGUCAUUGAUUUCUGCUAUUUACUAUUUCCAUCCCUCUAUUUACUUUAGGUUUAAUCGGCUCUUCUUUCUCUCGUUUCCUAUAGUAGAAAUUUAGAUUAUAAAUUUUAGAUUAAACCUUUCUUCUUUUCUAAUAGAAGCAUUUAAAGCCAUAAAUUUGCCUCUAGGCAGUCUUAGCUACUUUAACUGUAUGCUACAAAUUUUAAUGUGCUGUGUUUAUAUUUUCAUUUAGUUCAAAAUAUUUACUUUCCCCUUUAUUUUUUUUUGGUCACAUGGAUUAUUUAGAUGCUUAUUUUUAGUUUUCAAAUAUUUGGGGGAUUUCCUAGGUAUCUUCAUGUUAUUUUUCUAGUUUAAUUCUAUUGUGGUAUCAUUUCAAUUAUUUUAAAUGUACUGAGUCUUGUUUUAUAGCCCAGGAUAUGGUAUGCCUAGUGAAUGUUCCAUGUGCCCAGGAAAAGAAUGUACAGUUGUUGGCUAAAGUGUUAUAUAAAUGUUAAUAGGUCAAGUUAGUUGAUAAUGUUGUUCAAAUCAUGUAUAUCCUUACUGAUUUUUGGUGCUUCUCCAUCAGUUAUCGAGAGAGGACUGUUGAAAUCUCUAGCUAUAAUUUUGGAGUUCUCUGUUUGGCCUUUCAGUUUCAGUUCCAACAGUUUUUGCUUUGUGUCUUUUGAAACUCCGUUGUUAGAUACAUACACGUUUAGGAUUGCUACGUCUUCUUGAGGAAUUGAUCCUGUUAUCAUUAUGAAAUGUUCCCCAACUAUCACAACUACUAAAAUUAAUCAGAUGGAUUUUUGAUGAUUUAUAAAAACAUUUAAAAUUAAAACACAAUUUGUGUUUCACCAAAACUACAUCUCCUUUAUCCUGCUUUAAUUUUUUCCAUGGCAACUAUCUCCAUCACACAAUUUGUUUGUUUUUCAUCUUCUCCCACUAGAAUAAAAGUUCUAAAGAGUAAGAUGUCAUCUGUUUUGUUCACUGCUGUAUCCCAACUACCUGUCACAAAGUCUGACCUCAGUAAAUACUUUCUGCAUGAAUAAUAUAUAAAAAAGCUGCAACAACUGGAAGAACAUAAUAUUUCCAUGACUCUACCCCAUUUGCUCUGUGGUAAGAUGGCCUCUGCUCACACAAGGCUAUUUCAGAAAUAGCUUCUACACCCCAGCUCUCCCGCUGCCCUUCUGCACAACUAGUGCCACAAAACAGUGUUGCUGUGGGUUCUCAGGGCCUCAGACAUUAGUGAGAUAACUCUUUGUUUUAGCUUGUUCUUUGUAUCUCAGCCGCCUCUCCUCUAGCUAGGAUUUAGUCCUGAAUCAUUCCAGAGUGGUGAGUCUGAGUGACAGACACCCAGAUCCUGGCCCCUCACCCUGGACCCCUGUAAGGAGCCUCCACUCACUCCUUCAGGAGGCUGUUCAGGCCCUCAUAUAAGACGGACUCUUGGGGCCAGCCUCACUGUUUCUACUAGUAGCUCUAUAUAUCCCUGGGUUGUAAGGUGAUCAGGAGUUUGGUUCUUAUACCAAACCCAGCUGCAUAAAGCAUUUACAUUUCACAUCUCCUUACCACACUGUGGUUUCACUUCCCUCACCAAUUCUGUUCAUUCACAUGGCUGAAGGUUUUUGUUUUCCCAGGAAAUUUAAGCUUCAGAAAAACUGAAGCUACUCUCACUGUAAUAUUUG